UACGUAGGGUGCGAGCGUUGUCCGGAAUUAUUGGGCGUAAAGCGCGUGUAGGCGGCCAGAUAGGUCUGCUGUGAAAACUCGAGGCUCAACCUCGAGCUGUCGGCGGAAACCAUUUGGCUAGAGUCCGGAAGAGGAGAGUGGAAUUCCCGGUGUAGCGGUGAAAUGCGGCAGAUAUCGGGAAGAACACCCGUGGCGAAGGCGGUU
rnacentral:rRNA from 1 species